AGUAACGUAAAAUACAGCCUUUUGAUUGUAGUAGUUUUAGAACGCAGUAACUCUGAUGGCUAAUAAAACUUAGAGUACCGCUAGUAAAACUAGAGGUACUAUAGUAAAACUAGAGAUACUCUAGUAAAACUAGAGAUACUCUAGUAAAACUAGAGAUACUCUAGUAAAACUAGAGGUACUCUAGUAAAACUUGGCAAAACUUUUGCUUAGUUGUUUUUCAAACUUUACGCCAUGCAGUAGUUUACGUGUUUAAAAAAUGGCGUCGUAUAGCGAUAACGAGAAAGAUUUUUGUGUUCUUCAAUUUCAACAAAAUCAGCCCGUUGACAUUAUUCAACAGAAUUUUCGCACGGAAUUUGGAAAAGAUCCGCCCUCUGUUGAGUCUAUUGGCGCGUGGUAUGCAAAAUUUAAUGAGGAAAAAUUUAAUGAGGGAGAACAAAUUCUCCCUCAUGAAAAUGAAGGAGAAAUCAAUAAGACAGGAGAUAAAAAAGAAAACACAGCUUCCCCCAAUCAAAGAAAUUCCACUAGUUCAGAUUGGUCUAACAUCUUGGAUAUAAGCUUCUUGGAUUUAUUCUUUUUUUCCCUAAUGAAGAACAAAAAAUGAUCAUGGUACCCGAAUUUUGGCCUUGAAAUCGGCAGAAAAGAACAAAACGAUGAAUAAUUUGAAUAGCUUAUGGCUUAAGAAUAGCUUAUGUAAAGUGACAAUUUGCUGCAGUUUUAGGUAAAAAAGCACUUUUAAAUGAUUUCAGACAUCCUGUUGGCUUGGUGUUGUGGCUCUUAUGAUAACUGUUGCAAUCACUGUUGCAAUGACUGCUGUAAUGACUGCCUAGGUGAUUGCGAUUGUUCUGGUUGCGACUGUUCUGGUAGCGACUGUUUUGAAUAAUUGACUAAUCUUGAAGCUCAGAGUUCAUGAAGUAAACGUGAUAGCACCUCUCUCCACUGCAUCUAUCAAAACGGCAAAAACAAGAUUAGACAACAGAAGACAAAUAUUUAAAGGUCAUUAGAGACCUCUAAGAAAUCUUAAAAAAAACAUUAAGUAUGUUUUUUUAUGUAGCACAUAUGUUGUAAUAUGUAAUCUAAUAUUCUAUAAUAAUGUAUCAAAAUAUUCUGUAUCAUAAUAUUUUAUAAUAUAUCUGUUGUAUCCUUUUAAUAGCAAAGC